rnacentral:rRNA from 1 species
GGGUCAAGACAUAAAGGGCACAUGGUGGAUGCCUUGGCAUCGGAGAGCGACGAAGGACGUGGCAGGCUGCGAAAAUCCUCGGGGAGCUGCGAGCGAGCUAAGAU